rnacentral:rRNA from 1 species
GAUAAACGCUGGCGGCGUGCAUGGGACAUGCAAGUCGAACGGACGAUCGGGGGCUUGCUCUGAUCGUUAGUGGCGGACGGCUGAGUAACGCGUAGGUGACCUGCCCCGAAGUGGGGAUAACUGCCCGAAAGGGUGGCUAAUACCGCAUGUGGUGGUGCCUUCAUGGGCACCAGUAAAGCCGCAAGGCGCUUCGGGAGGGGCCUGCGUCCGAUUAGCUCGUUGGUGGGGUAACGGCNCACCAAGGCGACGAUCGGUAGGUGGUCUGAGAGGACGAUCACCCAGACUGGGACUGAGACACGGCCCAGACUCCUACGGGAGGCAGCAGUCGGGAAUUUUGCGCAA